rnacentral:rRNA from 1 species
UAUGUGAUCGUCUCUCGCAUAUCAAUAAGCGGAGGAAAAGAAACUAACAAGGAUUCCCCUAGUAACGGCGAGUGAAGCGGGAAGAGCUCAAAUUUGAAAUCUUAAAGGGUUUCCCUUUACGAAUUGUAGUUUAAAGAAGUGUUUUCUGUUGAGGUUUUGGUAAAAGUUCUUUGGAAUAGGACAUCAUAGAGGGUGAGAAUCCCGUAUUUGACCUUUACUUUCAACUUUGUGAUACACUUUCAAAGAGUCGGAUUGUUUGGGAAUGCAGUCCAAAAUGGGUGGUAAAUUUCAUCUAAAGCUAAAUAUUGGCGAGAGACCGAUAGCGAACAAGUACCGUGAGGGAAAGAUGAAAAGAACUUUGAAAAGAGAGUUAAACAUGUACGUGAAAUUGUCAAAAGGGAAGCGUUUGACACCAGUGUUGUUUUUCUGAAAAUCAAUUAAAGAACUGUUUAUGCUAAGUUGUUUAGACUUUAUCAGCUAUCUGCUUAGUUUUGAGCUUUUCUUUAAUGCACUUUUCAGUUAACAAGUCAACAUCAAUUUCUUUUGCUGUAAAAAAGCUUGAGGAAGGUGGCUUGAGAUUCGUCUUAAGUGUUUAUAGCCUCUUGCCUAUGCAGUCGGAGAGAUUGAGGUCUGCAGCGUAGAUCCUUCGGGGCUAAAUGCAUUUGUGCUAAGUUAUAGCAUUUUAUAGACAACUUGUUGACUAUGAUUUGUCUUGUAGCUUACUCGCUUAUGUUAUUUUACCUACGCUUAGGAUGUUGAGUAGCGACAUACGCAC